CGAAGGGGCUAGCGUUGCUCGGAAUCACUGGGCGUAAAGGGCGCGUAGGCGGACGAUUAAGUCAGGGGUGAAAUCCCGGGGCUCAACCUCGGAAUUGCCUUUGAUACUGAUUGUCUUGAGAUAGGAAGAGGUAAGUGGAAUUGCGAGUGUAGAGGUGAAAUUCGUAGAUAUUCGCAAGAACACCAGUGGCGAAGGCGACUUACUGGUCCUUAUCUGACGCUGAGGCGCGAAAAGCGUGGGGAGCAAACAGGAUU
rnacentral:rRNA from 1 species